UAAGUGUUCUUUGGGUUUUCCUGGCUGGCCACACAUAAUUCAAUUUUACUUGCCGCUUCCUAUUCCUGGUCUGCUUCAAAAAUCUUAACCCUGCCCCGAGAGCAAAAGUAAAAACAUUUUUCGGAGAAAAGCACGUGAAAAUAUUUAAAUAAGCGGAUAUGUAGCACUAAGGGACAAUGUGGCCAUACGUAUUUAACGUGGCAGCCAUUAGCCAAUGAGAUCCACUGUGUUUGCGCCAGAAUAUGAUUUGAUGUUUCAGUGUUUUUUAUGAAAUAUAAGCUUUUUAAAGUUGUCGAAGUCGCGGUGGUAGCACGAUUGACAAGCGUCGUGCAGCAACGAUACCACUUGACGAUGAAUUUCCGAUAGUCUUGAGCUAUCGUCAACGCGUGGAGAUGAGCGAAUGAGAGCUUUAAACUAUCGAUGAUGAAUCAUUGAAAAUAUCGAAUUUUCGAUUUGGCGGAGUCUAUUGUGUAUUUAAAAUGCCAAUCAGCACAAUGUAUAACUGAAAAUAAGUUAACAUUUUAAAUUAACUGCACGGAUAUUGAUCUUGUAUCUCAAGUUUCUUGUGAGGUUAACACGAUUAAAAGCGGUUUCAUGUACAUUUAAAAUCUAAGGCAUUUUUUAAAACAUACAUAUUAAAAAUGAAGCAAUCCAUAUGCAAAAUAGACUUAAGAAUUUUAUAAAGUUAUCACUUAUAACAAUAUAUUAUAAAGUCGUUUAA